CGGGCCCAAAUAGACCUGCUGUGUAAGCCACUAGUCCCACCACAACAUAUGGUCAUGUUCCAUUGGGGAGGGCAUGAGACUGAGGUCUUCAUCCCACAUCUUUUGCAUCCCAUGGGAGGAAGGGAGAAACUGAGGCACAGAGCGUCAAAGUGAUUUGACGGAGGUCACCUAAUAGCCCAGUGCCGGAACUGGGCACAGAACCCCGCACUUCCCAGUGGGUCACACUGCUGCUUGAACUGUUUCAACGACUCAAAAUUGAAGUGCUUAAUAAAGGAAAGAGAAAGAAUUUUGAUGCUACCGACUGUUAAGCAAUUUAAGCUCUGACUGCACUAACCUUAAAGUAAAUGAACCCCGGUCCAGGAGCUGCAUGAUCAAAUGCUGUUACAGAAUAAUUUAGUCCAACAGGAUAUUUCAGUAAUGAAAUAAAAGCUUAU